UCCUACGGGACGCAGCAGUCGGGAAUAUUGCGCAAUGGAGGAAACUCUGACGCAGUGACGCCGCGUAUAGGAAGAAGGUUUUCGGAUUGUAAACUAUUGUCGUGAGGGAAGAAGAUGACAGUACCUCAGGAGGAAGCUCCGGCUAACUAUGUGCCAGCAGCCGCGGUAAUACAUAGGGAGCAAGCGUUAUCCGGAAUUACUGGGUGUAAAGGGAGCGUAGGCGGGCGAGAAAGUUGAAUGUUAAAUCUACCGGCUUAACUGGUAGCUGCGUUCAAAACUUCUUGUCUUGUGUGAAGUAGAGUCAG
rnacentral:rRNA from 1 species